UAAGCACUUUUAACAGGUCGUGGUCUCAGUGCAGUAGGCCAUGAUUUGGUAGCUGGUGCUGAUAUGAAAGCUCUCUUUGAAGAAAAUCCAGCGGCUCUUCGUAUGGCUGUUUGGAUUAUCAGGGAGAGACACACAG
ensembl:snoRNA